UACGAAGGGGGCUAGCGUUGCUCGGAAUGACUGGGCGUAAAGGGCGCGUAGGCGGAUGGCACAGUCAGUUGUGAAAUUCCCGGGCUUAACCUGGGGGCUGCAUUUGAUACGUGUGAUCUAGAGUGAGGAAGAGGGUCGUGGAAUUCCCAGUGUAGAGGUGAAAUUCGUAGAUAUUGGGAAGAACACCGGUGGCGAAGGCGGCGACCUGGUCCUUGACUGACGCUGAGGCGCGAAAGCGUGGGGAGCAAACAGG
rnacentral:rRNA from 1 species